rnacentral:lncRNA from 1 species
CUCAACACAACAUUACCAACCUGCUACAACUAAAUACAACAUUAUCAACCUGCUACAACAUUAUCAACCUGUACAACUAAACACAACAUUACCGACCUGCUACAACUCAACACAACAUUACCGACCUGCUACAACUCAACACAACAUUACCAACCUGCUACAACUCAACACAACAUUACCAACCUGCUACAACUAAAUACAACAUUAUCAACCUGCUACAACAUUAUCAACCUGUACAACUAAACACAACAUUAUCGACCUGCUACAACUAAACACAACAUUAUCGACCUGCUACACAGAGAGGAACCAAGCAUAAAUGUCUUUUUCCAUUGAUUGAAAAUAGCUGUCACUGCAGGGGGAUGUUUGUAGCCAUCUUUUCAUUUUAUUUUCUCCUUCAUGUGGGAACAUCUAUAAUAUUAGACCCAUCUCUUUAUUCUCUUGAAUGACCUGUACAGACCAGGGUCUGUACCGACCCCGAGCUGGACUGAGGAGGUUUUAUACAGACCAGGGUCUGUACCGACCCCGAGCUGGACUGAGGAGGUUUUAUACAGACCAGGGUCUGUACUGAGCUGGACUGAGGAGGUUUUAUACAGACCAGGGUCUGUACCGACCCCGAGCUGGACUGAGGAGGUUUUAUACAGACCAGGGUCUGUGAUCAACCAAGAUGGACUGAGGAGGUUUUAUACAGACCAGGAUCUGUACCGACCCAGAACUGAACUGAGGAGGUUUUAUACAGACCAGGGUCUGUACCGACCCAGAGCUGGACUGAGGAGGUUUUAUACAGACCAGGGUCUGUACCGACCCAGAGCUGGACUGAGGAGGUUUUAUACAGACCAGGGUCUGUACCGACCCCGAGCUGCACUGAGGAGGUUUUAUACAGACCAGGGUCUGUACCGACCCCGAGCUGGACUGAGGAGGUUUUAUACAGACCAGGGUCUGUACCGAGCUGGACUGAGGAGGUUUUAUACAGACCAGGGUCUGUAUCAACCCCGAGCUGGACUGAGGAGGUUUUAUACAGACCAGGGUCUGUACCGACCCCGAGCUGGACUGAGGAGGUUUUAUACAGACCAGGGUCUGUAUCGACCCAGAGCUGGACUGAGGGGUUUUAUACAGACCAGGGUCUGUACCGAGCUGGACUGAGGAGGUUUUAUACAGACCAGGAUCUGUACCGACCCAGAACUGGACUGAGGAGGUUUUAUACAGACCAGGGUCUGUAUCGACCCAGAGCUGGACUGAGGAGGUUUUAUACAGACCAGGGUCUGUACCGACCCAGAACUGGACUGAGGAGGUUUUAUACAGACCAGGGUCUGUACCGACCCAGAGCUGGACUGAGGAGGUUUUAUACAGACCAGGGUCUGUGAUCAACCAAGAUGGACUGAGGAGGUUUUAUACAGACCAGGAUCUGUACCGACCCAGAACUGGACUGAGGAGGUUUUAUACAGACCAGGGUCUGUAUCGACCCCGAGCUGGACUGAGGAGGAUUUAUACAGACCAGGGUCUGUACCGAGCUGGACUGAGGGGUUUUAUACAGACCAGGGUCUGUACCGAGCUGGACUGAGGAG